rnacentral:rRNA from 1 species
AUUGAACGCUGGCGGCAUGCUUUACACAUGCAAGUCGAACGGCAGCGCGGGCUUCGGCCUGGCGGCGAGUGGCGAACGGGUGAGUAAUACAUCGGAACGUGCCCAGUAGUGGGGGAUAGCUCGGCGAAAGCCGGAUUAAUACCGCAUACGACCUGAGGGUGAAAGCGGGGGAUCUUCGGACCUCGCGCUAUUGGAGCGGCCGAUGGCGGAUUAGCUAGUUGGUGGGGUAAAGGCCUACCAAGGCGACGAUCUGUAGCUGGUCUGAGAGGACGACCAGCCACACUGGGACUGAGACACGGCCCAGACUCCUACGGGAGGCAGCAGUGGGGAAUUUUGGACAAUGGGCGAAAGCCUGAUCCAGCAAUGCCGCGUGUGUGAUGAAGGCCUUCGGGUUGUAAAGCACUUUUGGCGGGAACGAAAAGGACUGUGCCAAUACCAUGGUUCGAUGACGGUACCCGCAGAAUAAGCACCGGCUAACUACGUG